AAGAGAUUUCCAACUAUGUA
rnacentral:snRNA from 1 species